UACGGAGGGUGCGAGCGUUGUCCGGAAUCACUGGGCGUAAAGGGCGCGUAGGCGGCUCAUGAAGGCUGUGGUGAAAGUCCGGGGCUCAACCUCGGAUCGGCCGUGGCGACUCGUGGGCUGGAGCACUGUAGAGGCGGGUGGGAAUUCCGGGUGUAGCGGUGGAAUGCGUAGAGAUCCGGAAGAACACCGGUGGCGAAGGCGGUCUGCUGGGGUCGAACUGA
rnacentral:rRNA from 1 species